ACGCACGCUGGCGGCGUGCUUAACACAUGCAAGUCGAACGGAAAGGCCCUGCUUUUGUGGGGUGCUCGAGUGGCGAACGGGUGAGUAACACGUGAGUAACCUGCCCUUGACUUUGGGAUAACUUCAGGAAACUGGGGCUAAUACCGGAUAGGAGCUCCUGCUGCAUGGUGGGGGUUGGAAAGUUUCGGCGGCUGGGGAUGGACUCGCGGCUUAUCAGCUUGUUGGUGGGGUAGUGGCUUACCAAGGCUUUGACGGGUAGCCGGCCUGAGAGGGUGACCGGCCACAUUGGGACUGAGAUACGGCCCAGACUCCUACGGGAGGCAGCAGUGGGGAAUAUUGCACAAUGGGCGGAAGCCUGAUGCAGCAACGCCGCGUGCGGGAUGACGGCCUUCGGGUUGUAAACCGCUUUCGCCUGUGACGAAGCGUGAGUGACGGUAAUGGGUAAAGAAGCACCGGCUAACUACGUG
rnacentral:rRNA from 1 species